CCAGAAUUGGGAGUGGGGCUGGGGGGCAGCCGAGGGAGGGCUGGUUUGGGGAGGGGGCGGAAAACCCCUCGGGGGAGGGAGGUGGUUGUUAACGGGGCGCCGCUCCGGCAUUGGGAUAAAUCAAUAGAUAGGUGCAUCAAUAAAUAGGCGGCCCCGCAACCUCCAUCUGCAGCCCCCCCUCCUCGCUUUCCCCUCAUCCCCCCCCCCCUCCCCGCCCCGCGUAGCUCUAAAACUUAUAGUGCGCCCAAAGAAGUCCCUGAUUUAUGGAGUUUCCUAAUGCUAACUGAAUACUGUCUGUCAGGCAGCGCUGAAAGGCUCUCCGCACUAAUACAAGAAAAGGCUUUGUGUUGCUAAGCGAUUAGAGCAGAUGUAAUGAGAUUUACCCCAAUCCUGCUUUGCCCUUUCCCUAUCUUCAGUAAAAUUGUGUGUGUGUGUUUUCUUUCUUUCUUUCUUUUGGGGAGGGGGCUGAGGGGAAAAGGGAGGGAGGAGGUGGUGAAUUUCUGAGCCUGCCUUAUACAUUGUAGCGAACAACAGCGUAACUUUGCCUUUAGUUUAAUGAGUCUGGAUAUUUACUAUUCAGAAGUGAGCAAAAAAGAACACCUGUCUACACAAGGAAGAGAAAUUUCGCCUUUGUAACAGAAUGAAACAUUAUCCUAAUGUUAUAUUCAUAGCUAUAAAUUACUCGCUGCACUUUCUUUGCAUACCUUAUCUGCACACUUGCAAAAGUGGGUAAAUAAAAAGGAGAUGCUGUAAAGGGAGAGCGGACGGCGGCGUAUAACGGUUAUUAUUUUCAUAACUAAACAUUACUUCCACGAGCGGUUAAAACAACGAGUGUUUGUGCCGCACCAAGGAGGGAAUCCGUGACCCCAGUCCCCUUCCCCGGUUCCCCGGGUUAAAUCCCAUAUGGAUCAUUUCGGGCCGUGGGGGAGGAGACGAGGAGGCAAAGGGGAGAACACUUUUGGGGCGAUGCGGAGAGGCCUGGACACUGAUCCGUGCGUGGAUGUUUGUGCCACUGUGUGCCCGCACGACGCGCGUGUGUGCACACUGAUUUACAGGCGUACAGCCCCAAAACCCGGGUGGUGCACCGAAGUUUUUCCCUCCUCUUUUCCAAACCGGUGCAUCCCUUGCAGCUCGGAGGCACGUAACUCCGUACGGCACACUGGCUCUCCCCCACACCCCCUUUUUUUUUUUUUUUUUUUUUUUUCUGAUCAUUUUAAUUAAAAAAAGUUUUAUUACGAAACUAGUUUGUAUAAAACAGGGUUAUACAGGACCUUUGUAAGUUUGUAAUAAAACAGUAAGAAAAGGCA
rnacentral:lncRNA from 1 species